rnacentral:rRNA from 1 species
CCUACGGGAGGCUGCAGUGGGGGAUAUUGCACAAUGGGGGGAACCCUGAUGCAGCGACGCCGCGUGGGUGAAGAAGCGCCUCGGCGCGUAAAGCCCUGUCAGCAGGGAAGAAAAUGACGGUACCUGACUAAGAAGCCCCGGCUAACUACGUGCCAGCAGCCGCGGUAAUACGUAGGGGGCAAGCGUUAUCCGGAUUUACUGGGUGUAAAGGGAGCGUAGACGGUCCUGCAAGCCAGAUGUGAAAGCGCGGGGCUCAACCCCGGGACUGCAUUUGGAACUGUAAGGCUAGAGUGUCGGAGAGGCAGGCGGAAUUCCUAGUGUAGCGGUGAAAUGCGUAGAUAUUAGGAGGAACACCAGUGGCGAAGGCGGCCUGCUGGACGAUGACUGACGUUGAGGCUCGAAAGCGUGGGGAGCAAACAGGAUUAGAUACCCCGGUAGUC